GGUUAAACGCUAGGCGGCAGUGGCCUAAUACAUGCAAGUCGAACGAAGCCUUUGGCGUUAGUGGUGAAACGGGGUGAGUAACACGUAUCCAAUCUACCCUUAAGUUUGGGAUAACUAGUCGAAAGAUUAGCUAAUACCGGAUAAUAACAUUCACUUGCAUGAGUGAAUGUGGAAAGUUGCGUUUGCAACGCUUUUGGAUGAGGGUGCGACGUAUCAGAUAGUUGGUGAGGUAACGGCUCACCAAGUCAUUGACGCGUAGCUGUACUGAGAGGUAGAACAGCCACAAUGGGACUGAGACACGGCCCAU
rnacentral:rRNA from 1 species